CAAAGCCAUUUAGUCUGAUGGGUUUGGGAAAAGGAAGAAAACAAUCUAGGUAUCACAGGAAGAAAAUGUGUUUAAUAUUAUUGUUCAGAGGAAACAGAAUACCUGUAUCACAUGUCACUGACACAAUAAUCAGUUGUUACUUGGAAAAGCUAAAACAUAAAUGCCAUACAGUGUUUUCAGCUGAACAGUUACAGAAUACUGGAGUGCUAUCAUCAUCCAUCUCAAAAUCAGGAAAUGGCAGCAGCUAAAAUUAUGUCCCCAGACCAGGGUAAGAAGAGAUGAGCAGUGAAAAACUGUGCUUGCUCACCUAUUUCUGUGAAGAAUCACUGUAAACAAACAAAAAGAACCCCAAACAAAAUCUCCCAAAACCACAAGAACAAAACAACAAAGAUCAGCUUUUGCCUUCCACUUCUGUACAGGAAGGAGACAUUUACUGAUUAGACUGCAUCAUAUUAGA